AUUGAACGCUGGCGGCAUGCCUUACACAUGCAAGUCGAACGGUAACGGGCCUUCGGGUGCCGACGAGUGGCGAACGGGGGAGUAAUACAUCGGAACGUGCCCGAUCGUGGGGGAUAACGAGGCGAAAGCUUUGCUAAUACCGCAUACGAUCUACGGAUGAAAGCAGGGGACCGCAAGGCCUUGCGCGGACGGAGCGGCCGAUGGCAGAUUAGGUAGUUGGUGGGAUAAAAGCUGACCAAGCCGACGAUCUGUAGCUGGUCUGAGAGGAUGAGCAGCCACACUGGGACUGAGACACGGCCCAGACUCCUACGGGAGGCAGCAGUGGGGAAUUUUGGACAAUGGGCGCAAGCCUGAUCCAGCCAUGCCGCGUGCAGGAUGAAGGCCUUCGGGUUGUAAACUGCUUUUGUACGGAACGAAAAGCCUUCUUUUAAUACAGGAGGGUCAUGACGGUACCGUAAGAAUAAGCACCGGCUAACUACGUG
rnacentral:rRNA from 1 species